CAGUAGCCGCGGUAAUACGUAGGGUGCGAGCGUUAAUCGGAAUUACUGGGCGUAAAGCGCGCGCAGGCGGUUCGUUAAGACAGAUGUGAAAUCCCCGGGCUUAACCUGGGAACUGCAUUUGUGACUGGCGAGCUAGAGUAUGGCAGAGGGGGGUAGAAUUCCACGUGUAGCAGUGAAAUGCGUAGAGAUGUGGAGGAAUACCGAUGGCGAAGGCAGCCCCCUGGGCCUAUACUGACGCUCAUGCACGAAAGCGUGGGGAGCAAACAGGAUUAGAUACCCCAGUAGUCCCUGUCUCUUAUAC
rnacentral:rRNA from 1 species